GCAAACUUGGUCAUUUAGAGGAAGUAAAAGUCGUAACAAGGUUUCCGUAGGUGAACCUGCGGAAGGAUCAUUACAGAAGAGGGGGAUUGGUUUAUCUUACCCCGUACAAUAUACGGAGGUAGGAUAACAUCAAUGAAUCCGCAUCGAUUUUGUGUGCAUCUACCGAAUGGUUUGCUUUGGCGGAUCUUCCCUCCUCACACCCCCUCGCUUCAAAAAAACCGGGGGGCGUGUGGGGGCCCGAGAUGAGAAAGGGAAGUUGGUCUGGUUUUUUUUUCUCCUUUUUCCUUUCAAAAGUUCCCGGGGAUCUGCCAAGGUUUUUUUUCUCUUUCUUCAAAACUCUGUGACAUUUUCCAAGUAAAAAAAAGAAAUCGAAAUAAAAUACAACUUUCAACAACGGAUCUCUUGGCUCUCGCAUCGAUGAAGAACGCAGC
rnacentral:misc_RNA from 1 species